rnacentral:rRNA from 1 species
GUCUGGUGCCAGCAGCCGCGGUAAUUCCAGCUCCAAUAGCGUAUAUUAAAGUUGUUGCAGUUAAAAAGCUCGUAGUUGAACCUUGGGCCUGGUUGGCCGGUCCGCCUCACCGCGUGCACUGGUCCGACCGGGUCUUUCCUUCUGGGGAGCCGCAUGCCCUUCACUGGGUGUGUCGGGGAACCAGGACUUUUACUUUGAAAAAAUUAGAGUGUUCAAAGCAGGCCUAUGCUCGAAUACAUUAGCAUGGAAUAAUAGAAUAGGACGUGUGGUUCUAUUUUGUUGGUUUCUAGGACCGCCGUAAUGAUUAAUAGGGAUAGUCGGGGGCAUCAGUAUUCAAUUGUCAGAGGUGAAAUUCUUGGAUUUAUUGAAGACUAACUACUGCGAAAGCAUUUGCCAAGGAUGUUUUCAUUAAUCAGUGAACGAAAGUUAGGGGAUCGAAGACGAUCAGAUACCGUCGUAGUCUUAACCAUAAACUAUGCCGACUAGGGAUCGGGCGAUGUUAUCUUUUUGACUCGCUCGGCACCUCACGAGAAAUCAAAGUCUUUGGGUUCU